GUGAAUCAUCGAAUUUUUGAACGCAAAUUGCGCUUCCUGGCAUCCCGGGAAGUAUGCCUGUUUGAGGGUCAGUAUUAAUAAAAAGUCGGUUUAGUUACAAAUUGUGACGUUUCCGGCGUUUGGUCUAUCUUAACAUUUUUGGUUAAGUGGCUUAAAAUUGACCUUUUUUGCGCUUUUUUAAACGUACAUAAAUUUUUUUUUUUUUUCUAUUUUUAAUUCCAAAAUUUUUUUUGAUCCCAAUUCAC
rnacentral:misc_RNA from 1 species